rnacentral:rRNA from 1 species
GACGAACGCUGGCGGCGUGCCUAACACAUGCAAGUCGAACGGGGUUGAGUGCUUCGGUAUUUCAACUUAGUGGCGAACGGGUGAGUAACGCGUGAAGAACCUGCCUUUCAGUGGGGGACAACAGUUGGAAACGACUGCUAAUACCGCAUGACACUUUUUGGGGCAUCCCCGAGAAGUCAAGGCUUUAUGUGCUGAAAGAUGGCUUUGCGUCUGAUUAGCUAGAUGGCGGGUAACGGCCCACCAUGGCGACGAUCAGUAGCCGGUCUGAGAGGAUGAACGGCCACAUUGGGACUGAGAUACGGCCCAGACUCCUACGGGAGGCAGCAGUGGGGAAUAUUGGGCAAUGGGGGAAACCCUGACCCAGCAACGCCGCGUGAA